GGAGAAGAUACACUAGGUGGUUAUGCCCUCACUCUCAUAGACUCCUUGGAUACAUUAGCAUUACUUGGCGAUCGUGAGCGAUUUACUGCAGCUGUUGAAUGGAUUGUUAGUAAUGUUCAAUUUGAUAUUAACAAAACAGUUUCAGUAUUUGAGACAACUAUAAGGAUUCUGGGAGGUCUGCUCUCUGCCCAUCUUAUUGCCAGUGAUUAUGCC
rnacentral:misc_RNA from 1 species